GAUUUCUGGUUCGGCGCACUUGGCCCGUCUCGGUUUACGGGAUUGCGUGCCGGUGUGCGCCAUCCAUCCUUCGAGAGAACACUUUUGCCCUUUACUGGGUGAGAGUGCUAUCUCGAUCUUUUACUUUGAAAAAAUUAGAGUGUUUAAAGCAGGCUUGCGCUAUGAAUACAUUAGCAUGGAAUAAUAAUUUAGGACUUUAUUCCUAUUUUAUUGGUUUCUAGGAGUAAAGUAAUGAUUGAUAGGGAUAGUUGGGGGUGCUAGUAUUCAGCGGCCAGAGGUGAAAUUCUUGGAUUCGCUGAAGACUAACUUAUGCGAAAGCAUU
rnacentral:rRNA from 1 species